rnacentral:rRNA from 1 species
UACGGAGGAUGCAAGCGUUAUCCGGAAUUAUUGGGCGUAAAGCGUCCGCAGGUGGUCAAACAAGUCUGCCGUCAAAGACCAGAGCUUAACUCUGGAAAGGCGGUGGAAACUGUAAGACUAGAGACCGGUAGGGGUAGAGGGAAUUCCCAGUGUAGCGGUGAAAUGCGUAGAGAUUGGGAAGAACACCAGUGGCGAAGGCGCUCUACUGGGCCGGUACUGACACUCAGGGAAGAAAGCUAGGGGAGCGAAAGGG